rfam:Burkholderia sp. STM 7183 genome assembly, contig: CYGY01000021
AGUGAUGGCGCGGGAGAGAUCGUCACACCACCAUGACGACGCCGACGGAGCAACCGCCCCGGAAACUCUCAGGCAACAGGACCGCGAUAUCAGG